ACGAACGCUGGCGGCGUGCUUAACACAUGCAAGUCGAACGGAAAGGCCUGCUUUCCCUUGUGGAUUGCGGGUACUCGAGUGGCGAACGGGUGAGUAACACGUGAGUGAUCUGCCCCCAACUUGGGUAUAAGCCUGGGAAACUGGGUCUAAUUCCCGAUAGGACUGCAGGGUGGUGCCUGUGGUGGAAAACGAUUUUCUAGUGGUUGGGGAUGAGCUCGCGGCCUAUCAGCUUGUUGGUGGGGUAAUGGCCUACCAAGGCGGCGACGGGUAGCCGGCCUGAGAGGGUGGACGGCCACAUUGGGACUGAGAUACGGCCCAGACUCCUACGGGAGGCAGCAGUGGGGAAUAUUGCGCAAUGGGCGGAAGCCUGAUGCAGCGACGCCGCGUGGGGGAUGACGGCCUUCGGGUUGUAAACUCCUUUCGACCGCGAGGAAGCCACCUGGUUGGAAGGGUGGUGACGGUAGGGGUAGAAGAAGCACCGGCUAACUACGUG
rnacentral:rRNA from 1 species